GACAAGAAGACCCUAAGAAUUUUAAAAACAAAUAAUUUUUAAAUUUAAAAAUUAUUUGUUUUUUAGUUGGGGCAACUAGAAAAUAUUAUAAACUUUUUUAAAAUAAAAUGACCCAUUAUUAAUGAUAACUUGGAAAAAAUACUCUAGGGAUAACAGCGUAAUAAUUUUUGAUAGAACAUAUAGACAAAAUAGUUUGCGACCUCGAUGUUGGAUUAGGAUACUUUUUUAAUGAAGAUGUUAAAAAAAGAAGUUUGUUCAACUUUUAAAUUCCUACUUGAUCUGAGUUCAGACG
rnacentral:rRNA from 1 species